AGGUUUUCUAACCUUGAACAACUCCUUGAAGUAAGGGCUGCACGCGGAGAGGACAACCUUGUGCGCCUGGAGACGCCUACCAUCGCAGGCUAAGGUGACAUCAACGAAGUCCUCGUCAUCCCUGAGGGCCUCGAAUUGGCUGGAGACACUUUAAAAAUUUUCGAAAGAUAUAGAAUAUGAAAGAUUCAUUGAGACGAAGAGGGUGAGGGUGGUUUCGCAGGUCAGGCCUGUUUUACUGCACCCUCGUGCUACUGAUUUGAGAUGAGGCUCUCAUUACUCUGGAAAAAAAUGGCAGGUGCAAAAAGUGCAAUCGAUGACUGAAGAGGAGGUGUGUACGUGGGGAGAAUCGAUAGACGGCUUACCAACAUUAAGAGAUAAAUGAAGUAUAUAUUUGAUGUAUAGUAAUUUUUAUAUAUAUAUACAUACAUAUGUGUAUAUAUGUAUAUAUAUAUAUAUAAUAUUUUUACAUUAUAUUUAUUUUAAUUUUCUUAAACAUAUAAAAAUUAUUAUUAUUUUCAAUUAUAUUUUAAUUAAUACAUUGA